AAUGAACGCUGGCGGCGCGCCUAAUACAUGCAAGUCGAGCGAGAAGACAUAGCAAUACGUUUGUAAAGCGGCGAACGGGUGAGGAAUACAUGGGUAACCUACCCUCGAGUGGGGAAUAACUAGCCGAAAGGUUAGCUAAUACCGCGUACGCUUCUUGGACUUCGGUUCAGGGAGGAAAGCGAUACCGUGGGUAUCGCGCUCUUGGAUGGGCUCAUGUCCUAUCAGCUUGUUGGGAGGUAACGGCUCACCAAGGCUUUGACGGGUAGCUGGUCUGAGAGGACGAUCAGCCACACUGGCACUGCGACACGGGCCAGACUCCUACGGGAGGCAGCAGUAAGGAAUAUUGCGCAAUGGGCGAAAGCCUGACGCAGUGACGCCGCGGUGGGGGAGUGAAGGUCUUCGGAUUGUAAACCCCUUUCGGGAGGGAAGAUGGAACGAGCAAUCGUUCGGACGGUACCUCCAGAAGCAGCCACGGCUAACUUCGUGCC
rnacentral:rRNA from 1 species